rnacentral:lncRNA from 1 species
UGGUGUACAAAGAAUAAAAACAGCUAAAAUNGUAAUUGUCAUAUAAAACUAUGAUUAAAAUCAAGGAUGGGAGAAACAUUCAUUCAUUCAUUCAUUCUGGAAAGGCCUGGGUAAAAGGAUAGGUUUUUAGUUGGCACCUAAAGUCCAAGAAGACUGUAGGCACCCUACAAAUAUCAGAGAGGAGACUAUUCCGGAGGGUAGANACCACCACAAAAAAGGCCCANCUGCAGGUAGUCAUAAAAUGACGUUCAGUGAUUUCCCACAGCAAGAUCAANAUGUAGUGCUUUUAAGGAGAUAUAAAGUGAUUACUACACCGACACAUAUAUUCUAGUUUUUUGUUAUAUUAAUUACAGUUAUCACUCAUAGAGUGUUUUUGCUUAUAUGCCAUUAAUAAAAUUUACUGCAGCCUUAAAGCAUCCUUAAAGCAAUCUCUGAAUUUGCUCUUAGGCCUUUGGGAGUCUGGUUCCCUUUGCUAAAAUGGCUCCCCCUAUUGGCCAAUCUCACUGUGGGUAUCAAUCAAUCAACAUGCAUGGAUAGCCCNGGAAGCCACGUUUCUGCUUCCGGAGCAGCCAGUUGGAGAAUGGCUGUCCAGUGAACUGUAUGGAUAGUCUGGAUCUCUUGUUUUCCUAGACAGAAGUGAGUCCCAGAGGAGUUCUUUAUGNGCGUCCAGGGGCAGUCUGGGCACUUCUACUGCCAAGGCAGUUACCUGUUAGUGGAACUGGUUAGUCAGGACAUCUGUGCCAUUACAGUUUCCCUGCAGGUUGAUCUCAGCAUAAAUAUCAGUCAACAUGCCUCCUGUUCAUCUUCUGAGUUCAUCAAAGGGAGAAGUGCCUCCACCCAGGCCUACCCCACCAUGCAGCCCCAGUCUGCACAACAAAGCCAGAAUACUCGACCGAGANCUCUUUAUAAUCCUUACGAUUUUACCUCCGAUGAACUUGACCCAGCCUGUGAGUGGCCAAGGGAAGCAUCUUCAGCGAAGGAACAUAAGACAGAACAGUGUUAGUAUACUUUUUAUGAGGAAAGUUGGACUCGGGUGUUUGAAAAUGAGACAUUGUAAAGUUUCUGGGAUCCUGCUAAAGCCUGCACAAANCAGGGACAACAAAAGGGAUUUGGGGUCAGCAGCUUGGAUGGCUUCAAAAAAAGUUUGGACCCAUUAAUGGAGGCACAGGACUAUCGAUGGCUAUUUGCUCUAUGGCAGUAGGAGGUGCUAUGCACCCUAAGAUCUGCUGGUGAGGCUCUCUUGGCCAUGCCACCCCUUUCACUAUUUAAGGGGUGAGGAUGUGUGGGAGGGCCUUCUCGGUCAUAGCCCCCAGGCUAUGGAACAGUCUCCCUUCUGAGGUAUGAAAGGCACCUUGUUGUAUGUAUUCAGAGUGAUUGGUGAAGACACACCUCUUUACCCUGGCCUUUGGCUGAGGGAGCAGCAAGCCUUCCCCAUGCAGCCACUGUCACUGUUUUAGCCAAUCUACUUUAUCUGCUUUUAUAAUGAUUUUAUUGUGACCUGCCCUGAGUCCUUCU